GCCUGGGUGGCUCAGUCGGUAAAGCAUCUGACUUCAGCUCAGGUCAUGGUCUCGCGGUUUGUGAGUUCGAGCCCCGCGUCGGGCU
rfam:Felis catus isolate Cinnamon breed Abyssinian chromosome E2, whole genome shotgun sequence.